rnacentral:rRNA from 1 species
GACGAACGCUGGCGGCGUGCUUAACACAUGCAAGUCGAACGGAAAGGCCCUGCUUUUGUGGGGUGCUCGAGUGGCGAACGGGUGAGUAACACGUGAGUAACCUGCCCUUGACUUUGGGAUAACUUUAGGAAACUGGGGCUAAUACCGGAUAGGAGCUCCUGCUGCAUGGUGUGGGUUGGAAAGUUUCGGCGGUUGGGGUUGCACUCGCGGCUUAUCAGCUUGUUGGUGGGGUAGUGGCUUACCAAGGCUUUGACGGGUAGCCGGCCUGGGAGGGUGACCGGCCACAGUGGGACUGAGGUGCGGGCCAGACGCCUACGGGGGGCAUCGGUGGGAGAUAGUGCACGAAGGGCGGAAGGCGGAUGGAGCGACGCCGGGUGCGGGAUGGCGGCCGUCGGGGUGGAAACCGCGUGCGCCUGUGACGAAGCGUGAGUGACGGUAAUGUGUAAAAAAGCACCGGCUAACUACGUG